rnacentral:rRNA from 1 species
AUUGAACGCUGGCGGUAGGCCUAACACAUGCAAGUCGAACGGUAACAGAAAGCAGCUUGCUGCUUUGCUGACGAGUGGCGGACGGGUGAGUAAUGUCUGGGAAACUGCCUGAUGGAGGGGGAUAACUACUGGAAACGGUAGCUAAUACCGCAUAACGUCGCAAGACCAAAGAGGGGGACCUUCGGGCCUCUUGCCAUCGGAUGUGCCCAGAUGGGAUUAGCUAGUAGGUGGGGUAACGGCUCACCUAGGCGACGAUCCCUAGCUGGUCUGAGAGGAUGACCAGCCACACUGGAACUGAGACACGGUCCAGACUCCUACGGGAGGCAGCAGUGGGGAAUAUUGCACAAUGGGCGCAAGCCUGAUGCAGCCAUGCCGCGUGUAUGAAGAAGGCCUUCGGGUUGUAAAGUACUUUCAGCGGGGAGGAAGGGAGUAAAGUUAAUACCUUUGCUCAUUGACGUUACCCGCAGAAGAAGCACCGGCUAACUCCGUG